UUUCCUUUUAAUCAUAUGUCUCACGCUACACAAUCCGUGGGAAGACGACUAUCUGUCCUCAUUCGUAAACUCCACUUUUCUCGUCUUUGGAACUGGCUUGGUAGGUUCUUUUGUGUGGGUUGUAGGAGAAAUUCUGAGACGCCUCCGAAUUUGGAGUAGGACCGUUGAAAUACGACGAGCAGGGGGACCUUUGCCCUUUGGAAGGCUAAGAAGAACAGAAAGAAUGUGGGGUGGACCUGGGUGAGGUGAGACGGUCAAACAAACUACAAAAAUACAAUCCAUAUGUAUGCUAUUUUAAUUUUACCAUCAUUGCGCCUAAUGAUUCAUACUCCAUUAUAACUAAGGAGCAAUAAUCAAGACUCAGGAAUACUAAUGAGAGCGUUAAACCAAGUUAACAAAUCAGGACUGACAAGAACAAGAAUGUAAAUACCUUCUCACUUAGAAUUGAGUAUUUUCACUCAAUUCUUACGUUUCACCGCAUCCAAGAUCAUUCACUUCAUUACUAAAAUGUCUAGCGAUUAAUUAAUUGGAUGGUGAAAGGACCUAAUCUAACCUAGAGGAACACAUGAAAAGGACAAGCGGAAAUCACAGCCACAUCAUAUCGCAUAUCUCCAAUGGAGUUGUUACGAACAAAGCAAAAGAAGACGGCACUAUCUCCUUGUCCCUUCCUCCACAACUGAAUGGCUGACUGGCAUACAUACAUAUGAAUGUACACAACAUAGCAAAAAGGGUGGGGGAAAGAUGGUGUAUAGAACUGAAUGAUUUCACACAGUUGCGAAAUCGGACCAAGAUUCUGCAACCAACCCACUCGCAGUCAGGCUCCUUCCUUCGCUCCGAGUAUAGAUAAUCGAUCCGUCCAACCCGACAGGCCUGCAAAUGUUAAAAAUAAGAGACUCAGAACAAUAAUGAUACUGGAGAUUGGGGACAAAACAGGUCUCCUCUUUCCUUAUUUUGUCUGGUCAAACCAUGCUAAUGAUGACUACGUACACUGCGUGGGUGAAACCUGGGAUAUGGAUAUUUGACGUAAAUUGACCAUAGACGUAUUUACGUUCUGUGCUGUAAACAAAUUCCGUGUAGAGAAAUUAAGCCGACAGCUUAUGUGUUUUGUGGUUUAAAUAAUUUUCUCAUUUAUGUUGUAAUAAAAGAAAUAAAAACCUCGGA